rnacentral:rRNA from 1 species
AUUGAACGCUAGCGGGAUGCUUACACAUGCAAGUCGAACGGCAGCGCGGACUUCGGUCUGGCGGCGAGUGGCGAACGGGUGAGUAAUGUAUCGGAACGUGCCCAGUAGCGGGGGAUAACUACUCGAAGGAGUGGCUAAUACCGCAUAUGCCCUAAGGGGGAAAGCAGGGGAUCUUCGGACCUUGCUCUAUUGGGGCGGCCGAUAUCGGAUUAGCUAGUUGGUGGGGUAAAGGUCUACCAAGGCGACGAUCCGUAGCUGGUUUGAGAGGACGACCAGCCACACUGGGACUGAGACACGGCCCAGACUCCUACGGGAGGCAGCAGUGGGGAAUUUUGGACAAUGGGGGAAACCCUGAUCCAGCCAUCCCGCGUGUGCGAUGAAGGCCUUCGGGUUGUAAAGCACUUUUGUCAGGAAAGAAAUCGCUCGGGCUAAUAUCCUGAGUGGAUGACGGUACCUGAAGAAUAAGCACCGGCUAACUACGUGCCAGCCGCCGCAGUAACAC